rnacentral:rRNA from 1 species
UACGGAGGGUGCAAACGUUGCUCGGAAUCAUUGGGCGUAAAGGGCGCGUAGGCGGCCUUCUAAGUCGAACGUGAAAUCCCCGGGCUCAACCCGGGAACUGCGUCCGAUACUGGAAGGCUUGAAUCCGGGAGAGGGAUGCGGAAUUCCAGGUGUAGCGGUGAAAUGCGUAGAUAUCUGGAGGAACACCGGUGGCGAAGGCGGCAUCCUGGACCGGCAUUGACGCUGAGGCGCGAAAGCCAGGGGAGCAAAGCGGG